AUCAGUCUCUGUUCAUCGAGUGGGACUGGAGAGGGAGGCAGGAAUGAGGGCAAGAUUAAAGGCACCAAUAGAGCUCUGUAUAAUGAUAGUUCUUGUUUGGCUUUAUUAGUUUGCAGAGGAUUCGUCCAGGAGCUCUAGCCAGAUAAGAAUAUGGCAGAAAUGGACCUGAGCAGCCUGGACAUCCUUCUAAGCAUACAUAAACAGUCCUCAUGUUUCUGCCUUCUGCAUCGCUGGCUUACCAAGGGAAAAGAAAUCAAACAUCAGAGUUUACUCUCCUCAUCGGAUGGAAAGCGAGCAAGAGCAGUGAGCCCCCGAGCAUUGUCGAUGCAAGUGAAGAGCCGUCCGGUUGGCAGUUGCUACUGUCAGUGAGAUACAUGUCUGGUUUCGAGAGGGCUCUGCUCAUGACCCGCCUGGCUCCAGAUAGGGCCGCCCCAUUGGCUGUGGCUGGGUUUGUGAGAAAUGCUUCCUGACCAGCUGUGCUUACGAGAGAGACAAGAUCCCCAUUUUCAGGGGCUGCUCAGUUCUCUGGCCAGGAGCGGUGUGUCCUCCACAGCAGAAGGUUGCAUCUAGGAGGAUGACUCCAGUUUGCAGAGGAAUCGUCCAGGAGCCCAACCGGACAAGAAUAUGGCAGAAGUGGACCUGAGCAGCCUGGACAUCCUUCUAAGGAGACACGAAUAGUCCUCAUGUUUCUGCUUUCUGCAUCACGGGCUAUGAGUAAGAUUACCAAGGAAAAUGAAGUCGCGCAUCAAAGUCUACUGCUCUGAUGCGAUGGAAAGCGAGCAAGAGCGUCGAGACUCUGACCAUUGUUGAUGCCACGCAAAAGCUGUCCAUCUGGAAGCCGAGGAGAUGCUGCUGUCAGCGAGAUAAGUGUCUGGUUUGGGGAGGGCUCUGCUCACGCCCAACCUGAGUCCAGGUAGGGAAGCCCAGUACGGUAAGGCUGGGUUUGUAUGAAAAGGUUCCUGACUAGCUGUGGUCACAAGGGAGAAAAGGUCCCUCUUUUCAGAGGUUGCUCAUUUUUCUGGUCAGGAACAGUGUCUCCUGCACAGGGGGAGGUUGGAUCCAGGAGGAUGACUCAGGUGGUGAGUUGCUUGCUUUCCUCCCAUUUGUCUCUCUCUUCUCGAGUGUGUUGGCCAACUUUCUCACUCUCUUCCCUCUCCUCUCCUCGUGCCGUCUCACUUCCUAAG